GACAGAGGUGCCGAGCGUUAGGCGGAAUCACUGGGCUUAAAGCGUGUGUAGGCGGGCGGGCAAGUACCUUGUGAAAUCCCACGGCUCAACCGUGGAACGGCUGGGUAUACUGCCUGUCUUGAGCCAACUAGGGGCGAGCGGAACAGGCGGUGGAGCGGUGAAAUGCGUAGAUAUCGUCUGGAACGCCGAAGGUGAAAACAGCUCGCUGGGGUUGUGCUGACGCUGAGACACGAAAGCCAGGGGAGCGAACGGG
rnacentral:rRNA from 1 species